rnacentral:lncRNA from 1 species
AUCUUCUUCUACUAAAAGGUCUAACUUUCCUUCUUUAAGGCAAUCACAUGCCCAGUCUGCAAGAACUAUCUGACCUUCUUUCUUAUCAAUAUCAAAGUUCUUUCUACAGCAUACUAGCUCCAGCAAAAGAAUGCCAAAGCUGUAGGUAUCUACUUUGGUUGUGACAGGCAGGUUCUUGAACCAUUCAGGAGCUACAUACCCUUUGGUACCCCUGAUUGCUGUAGUUGUUUUAGUUUGGUCUGUCUUCAACAGCUUGGCUAGUCCGAAAUCAGAAAUCCUUGCAUUAAAAGAUUUGUCGAGGAGGAUAUUUUGAGGCUUGAUAUCACAAUGGAUUAUCUGGGAGCUGCAUUCUUCAUGGAGGUAAAGGAGCCCUCUGGCUAUAUCGAAAGCAAUUUGCAUUCUUCGGUACCAGUUAGGCCUUGAAUCUCCAAAGAGAAAAUUGGCCAAAGAGCCAUUGCUCAUGUAUUCGUAGACCAGAAGGCGAUGUUGCCCUUCGUUACAGAAUCCAACAAGUUGAACCAAAUUCUUGUGAUUUGUUCUUCCAAUAACUUUCACUUCUGUAUUGAAUUCUUUGUCGCCCUCUCCGGCCAUCUUAUCUAACUUCUUCACUGCAAUGAGUGGUUUGUCUUCGUUCGCUAGUACCCCUUUGUAAACAGUUCCAAAGGCACCGCUACCAAGUUCUUCCUUGAAUCCUCCUGUAGCUCUUUCGAGCUCACUGUAAGUGAAAUUCUGCAUAUUCAUAUCUGGCAUGAGACGGUGUUGCGGUGUCAUUUUUUGUUGCUGUCGGUUCCAUCGAGAAAAGAACACAUAGAUCCCUAGCAGUGAGAGAACAAUUAGAAAGAUGGAGCUACCUAAAAGCACCGAGCCUGUUGUGAUCAAAUUCGAUCUAUCACACUUCUUUGCACUUGAACCUGCAGUCGAGUUGCCUGUCCUUACUUUUAUCAGGGCUUUUCCACCAACACUUGGAUCUGUUACCCCAUUCGAGAGAGGGACUCUCUUCAUCCAACAUUGUCCAGCAGUGUUAAAAAUGGCAACAGCACAAUAACAGUCACUUAAGCAAGCCUGUCUGCACCAAUCCUCGUCCACCGAACCAAACAUUUCAUAAUCAUUAAAUGGCCAGUUUGUGUUAGGCAUUUCCUUGAUCUCAAAGCUAUCUAUUUCUUGCGAUGGAUGGUCACAAUCCUGUGAAAUAAAGUCUUUCUUGCAUCCCUUCCUCUCAUCAUUUGGAUCAAAGAAAGUGUAACCAGGAGGACACUUGCAACUUGGUCUUUGGUCUUCUCCUAAUCUGCAAUAGCUGUUGAAACCGCAAGCUCCACCGCCUUGUUGUCCCGCAAUUCUCAAGCAGAUAUUUGAUGGUAUGGAGUUUGACAAAGUCGUCCAGGCCAUAGCCCUGCUUCUGCUACUGGAAUCAGUCUUUGGAUAAACAUAUUGCCUAAGAACUCCAUCAUAGUCUAUGGUAGCCCUCAAGUAGAAAUCUUGCAUUGAUACUGAAUUAGAGAAUACCGAAUUAAGCAUAGUGCCAUUUUGGGCUACGAGGUACAUAUAGCCAGACUGGUUAAAGACCACCCUAUAACCGCUUCCAAUAGAAUCCUGGGUAGACCAAUAAGCAAAAUUUGAGGUAGUUAAUGGAUAGUGUGUGGUGUACAGGAUGAGAUUCCCGUCAGCUUGUAGAAUGAACUUGUAUCUUCCUUCUGAAUAAUUCUUAUUUUCCAGGUAGGGAGCAAUUAGUUGAGCACCUAAAUUCAGAUUUUGUGUGGGCAACAGUGUGUCUGUUGGUUCAUCAAAACUCUGCCACAAAUUCGCACCAGCUUGGCUUGCUACCACGAAGUUUCCCGAGUCAAGCAUGGUUGCAUAGGCGGUUCCACUUCCCCCCGAUUGUGGACGGAUCCAUAUUUGUCUGCCUGAUUGAUCAUUUAGAAUCAACUCACCAUCUGCCGUAAGUUGUACUCUUGAUCCACCCUGAACUAGAUCAUUUCUAUUAGCAGACCAGACCAUGGUUCUUUCAGGUAUUUUGUUGAACCAUAUGGCAAGUAAGUAGCCAGCAUCACCAACUUUCUGGAAACCAAAAGCAAAUUCGCCAGAUGGUGAAGUCCAAGAAAGGUUAUCACUUGCAGCAGUGAGAGAUGACCCCAAAGAUAUGUUUCUGUAAGUCUGACCAUUGGUGGAGAAUGGCAGAAGCAGAAGAAGAAGGAAGAAAAAACAAUAUGGUAGUUGAAAAUCCAUGAUGUGAAGAUACUAUAUUUUAAGACAUUGCAUGAUUUAGGGCACAGGUCCUCUUCUCUAUUUAUGCUGAGUAUUACAGUUGGAAGAAAUAUUGAGUCUCCAACUAUCCGCGUACGCAUCAAAUGAAUAAAUUAAUGAAGUAAAAGUAAAGCAUUAGAAAAUUGUAAGUCUGAUCAACGGUCAAGUUUUCCAAUAUUAACGUGAAGAAAGGGGUGUUCAAAGAAGAGAAAUUAUUAGCAAUAAGUCUUAGAGCGAUUACUAAUGCCAUUGGAAUAAACGGUGUGGCCCUUUUCUUCUGACCACUUCAACUAUAAAGGCUUCACUGUUUCUCUUGAUUUAGGAUUGCAUGUGCUACAAAUUUUCUUCAUUGAAAAUCUCUAAAAUCCUGGUCUUUCUGAGAAAAUCCAACUAGAACUUGGAGAAAGAAAUGCAAAAAUGAAGUGUUUUCAUACUCAAUAUCGUUAAAUAACCGGUUCCUAAAAAGUUAUACAUUCUAAGUCCUUUGAAGAAAUUCUUAAUUAUAAAUCUGAAGAAACAAAAGGACUCGAGAAAAAUAACUUAUUUGAUCAUGAUAACAGUUGUUAAAGAAUAAAUUAAAUUCAAUUUAAAAGCUAAAGCAAAUUAGCACAAAAUUAAAAUAAUAAUUUAACUAAUAAGAUUCCAUAUCUAGUUUAAUCAAAAAAUUUAAGAUAUUGAUGAUAAUUUAAGAUAUAAUUUAUAUUAUUGUAAAAUAAAUAUUACUAAUGAAAUUAAUAAGAAGCUUUUUUUUUUAAACCAUUCCAAUUACACAGUUUUAACUGCUUGGAUUUAAGAUUAUUCUACAAUUUUUUUUAAUUAAAAAUCCCUAAAAUCCUAAUAACAAGUUAUAUAUAAAAAACUCAAAUUUAUUCAUGUUGAUUCUUCAUUUUCAUAUUUAUAUUUUCCUCUCAUAAAAUAAAACACUUCAAAGAUUCAAGAAAGGUAAGGUAUUUGAUGAAAAGGAUGACAUUAAUUUAGUUCAUUUAUAAACUACAAUUGUGAAGUUCGAGAUCUUUAAAAUAUAAGGGUACAAAAAGAAAAUUGUUUCAUUUACAGGGGCAAAUGAUAAAGUUUACCCUUUUGCUAAUUUGCCACCGAAUCGUGCAUGAACACAAACAACGAGGACAAAGCAACGACAUGUCUUUCAUGUUGGUCCAGAGACUUUGGACUAGCUACGGAUGAUAACGAGUACAUAUGAAUCGAGUUUUUGUUAUAUUCAUUUCUGAUUAAUUAUUAUUAAUCAAGUUAAAAAUUUAUUAAUGAAUCGAGAAAUUCAGUGCUGGUGAAUUAUAAUUCCUUUUUGAACACGUUGAAAUAGGAAAAUCCUUGUAAAAAAGGAAUUCAUGCACUUAUUCCCUUCUUCUCUUUCUUUCCUUAACCCGUUAUUUUCUUUAGCUGAGCUGAGAGAGUGAGAAAGAAAGAAAAAAUCUAAGUACUUCGCUAGCUGCCGACUUUACGUUGAUUGUGUUUGUUUUGGUGUUUAAAAAAUAUUUUUAAAUUUUAAAGUAAAGAAAAAGAUAUUAAUUUAAAGAAAAAAAUUAAAAAAAUUUAAAUUUUUUUAAAACGUUUUUAAAAUGUAAAAACAAAUAAAUUUUUUUUCUUUUUUUUUAGAGUAUAUUUAUUUAUUUAUUUAUCCAACCAAAACUUUCUCUUGAAGAUCACGUGAAUGAAGCCUGCCCCGUUUCACAACGCUUUCACAUAGGAAACAUUUGUCAAGACAGCACUGUCGUUUCUUCUCCUCAGCUGAGAGCAAUGUAGUAGUCAUCAAUGAGAAUGUUCUGCGGCUUGAUAUAACAGUGAAUGAUUUGGGGGCUCCAAGUUUUUUCUUAAUGCAAAUAUCUAAAAAGGAUAAUUAAAAUAAACUCUUUUAAGAUUGAUUUUUACUUUUGUUGUAACGCAUUUUUGGGUCCCCACACAAGAAAAAAAAUACAAAAAAAAAUCAAUAAAUAAUAAUAUAUAUAAAAAAAUAUAGCAGUGAAAAGAGGAUGUCAGAGCACCUAGAAAAUGACCAAAAAAUAGUUGAGGAGGUUCAAAAAAAAAUAUAAAGAUUGGAAUUUGAUAGUACGUAUAUCAUUGACUAGUGAGAGCACUAUUGAUAAAGAAAAUUUUAUUUGAGGAAGAAAAGUACAAAAUCAGAUGUUUAUGGACUCAAUUAAAUUUUAUUAAAGGUUUAAUUGAAUUUAUGGAGGAUUGAUUACAAGAAAAAAAAAUGAUUUUUAAGUCCAUUUAGGCUUUAAUUAGAAGAAAUUAAAGUUCUGGGGUCAAAUUAUAAUUUUUAAGAGUUGAUUUGGUCAAAUCAGGGACUUAAUUAUGUAAAUAUUGAAGUUCGAUGGCCUAUUAGGGACUUGAUUGAAGAAAUCCAAAACCAAGGACCAAACUAAAAAUCACGCAAAUUGAAGGACUGACUUGAAAUCUGACGCAUUUUGGCGCCAGUUUCCAUUUAAAUGAAACGGCGCGUUUUGGGAAAAACGACGUCGUUUCAUGCAUUUUCCACAAAAAAAAAGGGAAAACAAAAAUUGUCGUUUUUAGGCGGCACUGUUUCUCCUUCUUCUUCCCUUGGACAUGCAACAGGGGAAAAGAAGUUUUUGUUUUUUCUUCCUUGUUUCUUCCUCUCUCCCCCUCCCAACGUGCUCUGUUAAAACCAAAACCGGACGCCAUCCGGACCUCCUCAUAAUGACAAAACAGAGAAGUCGUGCCCUGCAAGCGACACCCCCAUUGGCCACCUCUCUCGGUGCCGUGACAGAGCAGGAGGACCUCGCACCCUAUGCAAAAUGAUGGGACGGGGCAGGGUUGAUCAUAUUCCCUCUGCCCCUAUAAAUACUGCCCGAACAGAGGGAAGAAAGGGAGGAGGAUCAACGGGAAAGAAAAAAGAAUAGGGGAGAGAGGAAGAAGAGAGAGGAGCGGAAGAAGAGGAAAAGAGAGAAACUGAAAGAGAGAGACAGGACAGUGAAAGAGCCGAAAGAAAGAAAAAAAAUAGAGAAGGGGAAUAGAACAAAGGGGACAGAACAUAGAGGGAAGAAUAAGAAAAGAAAAGAGAAGGAGAACAAAGAGAUGAGUGAAUGAGAACUGAAACGGGAAGAGGAAGAUUUGCUUGAGUGAUAGCAUAAAAAGAGCGAAAACAAACGAGGGGAAGAAAAAACAGAGACCGCGGGCUCUGCACAGAGGAGAAGAAGAAAAGACAAUCGCGCCACCACCUGGAAUCAUCGUCAUUUCUCCUCCCAACCGCUGCCCCAGUCACCUUCCACCACCGCUGACGACCAGAACCAUGUUUUCCCGCUUCAGGUAACGUGAGCAAUUCAUGUUUUGCAGCAAAUGAAGUUUAAUUAGCUAGUUAUUGUGCUGUGCACAGUAACGAGCUAAUUAUAUUUGGCUGGUUACUGUGCGCAACACAGUAACCAGCACUUUUGUUCGUUUUGGGCUGGAACAUCAGCCGAGCCCACGCGGCUGGGCUCAGUCCAGCCUUGUUGCUAGGCCAAUACAGGCCCAGCUCAGAUAAUUGAACCGGGUCCGACCUAGUUUCAUUUUUUAAAAAAAAUUAAAAAAAUAAUAAUGAUAUGUUUUCGAAGAAAUUGCGAUUUCCUCUUGUAUUUUUCUUUGCCAUUUUGAUUAAUAUCGGUCUGUAUUUUCAUAUCGUAAAGAUACAAAUCUGAUAUUAAAAUUUAUAGUUUUUUUUUUAAAUAUUUUUGUUUUCAUGUCUACGGCCAAGUCUCUCGAAGCAAAAAAAAAUAAUAUUGUGUUUUAAUACAACAAAAAAACUUCAAUAUAUAUAUAUAUAUAUAUAUAUAUAUAUAUAUAUAUAUAUAUAUUAGCAUACAUUUUGCCUUUAAUAACCAAUUUAUUAAAGUAAUAAAAUCUUUAUAUUCAUUUCAAAUCUUUUAUUUUACUUAUUUCUUGUGAACAUGGAAAAUAAAAAAUAAUAAUUGAAAGCAGGCGUUUUAAGCCUUAUUGUACAAGAUCUAACACAUGAUGCCUGAAAUGAUAGGAAAUACAGAUUAUUCAAUACAAGGAACUACAGAUUAUUCAAUGCAAGGUAGAUAUGUAACAUUCAUUGGCCUUAGUUUCUGGAUAUAUAUAUAUAUAUAUAUAUAUAUAUAUAUAUAUAUAUAUAUAUGUGUGUGUGUGUGUGUGUGUGUGUGUGUGUGUGUGUGUGUGUGUGUGAAAAGAUUUAGAUUGUGCUGAUAAAUGAUGAAGGAUCAGGAGGAACAGAGACUUGAACACCUCCUUCUAACAUCUGCACAACUUUCUUCAUUCCAGGUCUUAAAGAUGGAUCUUCCUGAAUGCACCAAAUUGCAACCAUCACAAACCUCUCUACCCUUUUCAUGUCUUCCAUUGCCUCUCCGUCUUCUUCUACUAAAAGGUUCAACUUUCCUUCUUUAAGGCAAUCACAUGCCCAGUCUGCAAGAACUAUCUGAUGUUCUUGCAUUGCAUUAAUCUCAAAGUUCUUUCUGCAGCAAACUAGCUCCAGCAAGAGAAUGCCAAAGCUGUAGGUAUCUACUUUGGUUGUGACAGGCAGGUUCUUGAACCAUUCAGGAGCUACAUACCCUUUCGUCCCCCUGAUUGCUGUCGUUGUUUUGGUUUGGUCCGUCUUCAACAGCUUGGCUAGUCCGAAAUCUGAAAUCAUGCGUUUUAAGCCUUAUUGUACAAGAUCUAACACAUGAUAGGAACUACAGAUUAUUCAAUGCAAGGUAGAUAGGUAACAUUCAUUGGCCUUAGUUUCUGGACACACACACACACACGUGUGUGUGUGUGUUCAAAAAGAUUUAGAUUGUGCUGAUAAAUGAUGAAGGAUCAGGAGGAACAGAGACUUGAACACCUCCUUCUAACAUCUGCACAACUUUCUUCAUUCCAGGUCUUAAAGAUGGAUCUUCCUGAAUGCACCAAAUUGCAACCAUCACAAACCUCUCUACCCUUUUCAUGUCUUCCGUUGCCUCUUCAUCUUCUUCUACUAAAAGGUUCAACUUUCCUUCUUUAAGGCAAUCACAUGCCCAGUCUGCAAGAACUAUCUGAUGUUCUUGCAUUGCAUUAAUCUCAAAGUUCUUUCUGCAACAAACUAGCUCUAGGAAGAGAAUGCCAAAGCUGCAGGUAACCUUGGUUGUAACAGCCAAGUUCUUGAACUAUUCAAGAACUACAUACCCUUUGGAUAGUAAUGCGAGAUGCAUUCUUCAUGGAAGGAGCCCCCUGCUAGAAGAAAAUUAAUGUGGUAGCUUAUAUGGAUAAAUACUAAAUUGCAAGGCUAUUUAACAAGAAGAAAUUUUUAGAGGAAAGUAUGUUUUAUUAAGUGUUUUUCUUUUCUGUUCUUGUCUUAUAUUUAUAAUUAAAAGCCUAUUUAUAAAUAUAAAAUUUUAGACAAAUAAAAAAUUAAACUAAAUAAAAAAUAAUUUAAUAUAAUAAAAAAAUAAUUUUUUUGACUUAAUUAGUCAAAUAAUUUUCAACCGGUAAAUUAGUUCCUCUAUUUCAACUAGUCGAUUAGUUCCUUUAUUUAAAAAAAAAAACCAAAAAUUUAAUUUAUUUUCAACAUUCUCUAUUAAACUUGAUUUUUGAUAACUCCUAGCAUAUCUCUAAGCUUAGCAAAAACAUCAUGUUUGAGUGACUUUGUUAGAAUAUUUGUGACUUGGUCUUAGAUCUUGAUAUAUUUGACUUAAACUUCUUUUAAUUAUUUUUCAACUUUUAAUUACCUUAUACUUAUAAUUACAAGCCUAUUUAUAAAUAUAAAAUCCUAGACAAAUAAGAAAUUAAACUAAACAAAAUAUAAUUUAAUAUAAUAAGAAAAAGUAAUUUUUUUGACUUAAUUAGUCAAACAAUUUUCAACCGGUAGAUUAGUUCUUCUGUUUCAACUAGUCGAUUGGUUUUUUAAUUUAAAAAAAACCAAAAAAUUUAGUUUAUUUUCAACAUCCUCUAUCAAACUUGAUUUUUGAUAACUCCUAGCAUAUCUCUAAACUUGACAAAGAUAUCAUGUUUGAGUGACUUUGUCAGAAUAUUUGUGACUUGGUCUUAGAUCUUGAUAUAUUUGACUUAAACUUCUUUUAAUUAUCUUUAAACUUUUAAUUUCAUACAAUUUCAUCCCUGUCAAACUCAAUAAUCAACCCCAGAAUUUAACACCUUUUCUAAUUAGGUUAUUGAUUGUUGAUUUAUGCAAAUUAACCCUCAAUUGACCAUCAAUUACACUUUUAAUUGUCUUUAAUUUGACCCUUGAUUCUGUUGAUUUAAGUCCCAUACCUUUUACGAUUUGGUCUUUGAUUUUGUGUUUCUUUAAUCAAGUCCCUAAUUGCCUAACAAACUUUAAUAUCUAUGCAAUUAAGCCCUUGAUUUGACCAAAUUAUCUUUUUAAAAUUGCAAUUCAACCCCAUGACUUCAAUUCUUUCCAAUUAAAACCCAAAUUGAAUUCAAAAACCAACAUUCCUCAUAAUUAAACUUUCAAUAAAUUUAAUUAAACCCUAAAAAAAUACCAAUUGAGUUAUUAAACAUUCAAUUUUAAAUGUUUCUUCUCAAAUUGAAUUUCUCUUGUUAAUAAGGCAUUUAUCAAUCAAAAUUGAACUAUUAAUUUUUCAACUUUGGGCAUUUUGAUCUUCCUCAACUAGUUUUUGAAAAUUUUCUAGAUAUUUUUCAUGCUCUUCUUAUUGAUAUGUAUUUUAUUUUUUCAAAGUUUUUUAAUUUUUUAGUAUGGGGUCCCAAAAAUAGAUAACAAUAAUGUUGAUUUGACAAGUUAAUUUAGGUUGACUUGAGUCGAUUCAAUAUAUUUUUGUUUUAAUAUUUCUUAAAAAAUAUAAUCUUGGAAAUUUUUUAAUCAAACGAUGUUUUUAACAAUUGUUAAUUUUAAGUUAACCAAGUUAUAUUAGGUUAACUCAUAUAUAAUUUAAAUUAUUUUUAUCAAAAAACAUGUUAGAUACAUCUGCAUAUUUUUCUUUAUAUAUAAAAAAUUGAGCCAAUAAUUUAGUUAACAUCUCGUUGAGUAAUUUGUAAAGUGAAUUAAAAGUGAUCAUUGUUGGAAUGCUGCCUCCUAUAUAUUGAUUUUGAAUUAGAGCAUUUAUAUCUAAAUUUGUAAAUUCAGAAAAAGGAAUCGUUUUUUUAAAGAUUGAAUUCUAAAUAGUAGCUUAAGGAGCAAACUCAUUUAUCAUUUAAACUAAACCUUCAAAAUAAUAUAUUAUUAUUUAAAAUUAAAUUAAGUGGAAUAAUAAAUUAUAAAACCCUUUUGCUUAAUGCUAAUAUAUAAAUAUAAGAUUUUACUUGUUACUCUUUAAUAUGGAAAAAAAGAAAAGAAAAUAAAUAAGCGCAUGAAACUUAACACACGAAUCAAUCCAAUUUGAAAGUCAAUUAACACACGAAUCAAUCCAAUUUGAUUAAGUGUGUUAAUGUGCAUGGUACAAUUAACACACGAAUCAAUCCAAUUUGAAAGUCACAUUGCCAUCGACUACGUGUCAUACAUAAACAAGACAACAAAUGCAACGACUAGUCUUUUAUAUUGGUCUAAAAUUGUCUUUUACGCCGAAAUGAACCUUUUCUUCCUAUCAUUAUUAUAAUGGACUGGUCAACUUUUGUCUGCAAUUACUAAAUUUCUCAAGAUGUUAAACAAACCAUUCACAUAAAAAAUAUUAAGCCCGAACUCGCACAUGACCCACAGAUUAGAUAUGUUAAUUUAGAUUUUUUAAAUUAAUUUAAAAUAAUAUUUUUUAAAUUUAUUUUAAUAAAAGUUAAAACGAUAUUUUAAAAAUAGAAAAAAAAUUAAGGUUGUGAAUUGAUCAGGAUUGAGUUAAUCUAAUAACUACAAACAAAGUUUUUUAUGAAAAUCAAGCUCAAUUAAUAUGAUCUUAAUCAGGACUACAUUAUGAUAAAUAACUUGGGAAACAAACAUGCCAUUUACACGGGCCAAGUCUAUAAGAGCUAGACCAUUUAAGAUUGAAGUACUGGUUAGUAAUUAUUUAUUAAGCACAUAUUUUGAAUAAUAAUUCUUUGAUUCUACUCGUUACUCUUGAGCAUGGAAAAGGAAAAAAAAAAAAAAGGAUUCAAGUAUUUGAAGCCUUGUUGUGCAUGUUGUAACACAUGAUGUUUUUCUUUCCGAACUGAUAAAGACUCAGUCCUUGUAAUCAAUCUGUUACUCAAUUGGAAAAGUUGAAGAAAUCAUCAUUUGACUCGAAAUUUAGAGUAUCAACCCAGAAGAUGAUCUAGACAUGUCUGAAAUGACAGCAACUACAGAUUAUUCAAUACAUGGUAGAUAGGUUACAUUCAUUGGCCUUAGUUUCUGGAUAUAUAUAUAUAUAUAUGUGUGUGUGUGUGUGUGUGUGUGUGUGUGUGUCCAAAAAGGAUUUAGAUUGUGCUGAUAAAUGAUGAAGGAUCAGGAGGAAUAGAGACUUGAACAGCUCCUUCUAGCAUCUGCACAACUUUCUUCAUUCCAGGUCUUAAAGAUGGAUCCUCAUGAAUGCACCAAAUUGCAACCAUCACAAACCUCUCUACCCUUUUCAUGUCUUCAGUUGCCUCUUCAUCUUCUUCUACUAAAAGGUUCAACUUUCCUUCUUUAAGGCAAUCACAGGCCCAGUCUGCAAGAACUAUCUGAUGUUCUUGCAUCGCAUUAAUCUCAAAGUUCUUUCUGCAGCAAACUAGCUCCAGCAAGAGAAUGCCAAAGCUGUAGGUAUCUACUUUGGUUGUCACUGGCAGGUUCUUGAACCAUUCAGGAGCUACAUACCCUUUGGUCCCCCUGAUUGCUGUAGUUGUUUUAGUUUGGUCCGUCUUCAACAGCUUGGCUAUUCCGAAAUCAGAAAUCCUGGCGUUAAGAGAUUCGUCGAGGAGGAUAUUUUGAGGCUUGAUAUCACAAUGGAUUGUCUGGGAGCUGCAUUCUUCAUGGAGGUAAAGGAGCCCUCUGGCUAUAUCGAAAGCAAUUUGCAUUCUUCGAUACCAGUGUUGAAGUAUGGUACCUAAGCUAGAACAGGAUUACUUAGCAGUAAUCUACUGGAUGAUUAUCUAGUUGUUAGCUGAGAUUACUAUCUAGAUUAGGAUAUGUUUUUGAAUUCUUUUAUUGAGUUUAUCUAGGAUUAAACUAACUUGUAAACAUCUCCUUAAAUAAAGAAGAAGUUGGCUGGUACGUUUCUAGAGUUUGCUUUUCUUUGUAAUUCUGUUUUCUUUUCCUAUAAAUAAAAGGGCAUGGGAUGGCAGUAACCAAUAACUCAAUUCUGCUCUUUGUUCUUUAUACUUAAAUACUAAGUUCUGUGUUCUUUCUUUUGUUCUUUCCAUCGUGGACUUAGUUCUUUGUUCUUUUCUCUUUUAUCAGCAAACAUAAGGCAGUUCUUUAUAUUUCUACAAUUGGUAUCAGAGCAUUCUUAGGAUCUUUGAAGGGCUUUCUUGUGAGUGAGAAACACGAGAGUACAGAGAGGAUAAAUCAAAGUUUUUACUUUGAGGGUUGGUGAGUGAAAAACACGAGAGAAUAAAGUGAGUUUUUUUUUAAUGGAUUCUGCAAGCUUUUCACCAAAAACACCAUUGUUUACGGGACAGAAUUUUGGUGUGUGGGCUGUAAAAAUGGAAACCUAUCUCAAAGCUCUUGAUUUAUGGGAGAUAGUGGAAAGUGAUAGGCAACCUACUCCUUUAGGUAACAAUCCCACAAUUGCACAGAUGAAGUUCUUUAAUGAAGAAAAGGCAAAGAGAUUCAAAGCUCUUUCUUGUCUUCAUAAUGCUGUAAGUGAAGACAUCUUCACAAGGAUUAUGACAUGCAAAUCUGCCAAGGAAACAUGGGAUAAAUUAAAAGCAGAGUUCCAUGGUGAUGAGAAGUCAAGAAGGAUGCAGAUUCUGAAUCUGAGAAGACAAUUCGAAGGUCUGAAGAUGAAAGAAAAUGAGAGCAUCAAAGAUUUCUCUUCUCAAAUUUCAAAACUUGUGAAUCAAGUAAGACUUUUGGGAGAAGAUUUUCCAGACUCUAGAAUUGUAGAGAAAGUCCUGGUGAGUCUGCCAGAAAAGUUUGAACAUAAAAUCUGUUCUUUAGAAGAUUCAAAAGAUUUUUCUGAAAUGAGCUUGCAAGAACUAGUAAAUGCAUUGCAAGCUGUGGAGCAAAGGCAAACAUAUAGACAAGAAGGAUCAAGUGAAGGAGCUCUUGUAGCAGUUUACAGAGAUAAGAGUCGGGCUAAGAACAUCUUCAGAAAUAAUCAAGAAGGAAAAAGAGAAAAAGGGAGAAGCUGGAAAUCUGCUAACUGGCAGCAGAACAUCAAUAACAGCUUUAUGAGGGGGAAAGAGAAGAAAGAGCAUUUUCCUGCUUGCAAAUACUGUCAGAAAACUAAUCAUCUUGAAGCCUCGUGUUGGCUCAAGAAUGCUCAAUGCCGAAACUGCAAGCAAUUUGGGCACAUGCAAAGAUUUUGCAAAAAUAAAACAGAAACUGAACAACAAGCUCAAGUAGCCGAUUGUUCAGAAGUCAAAGAAGAUCUUUUUAUUCAUGGUCACAAUUCAGGACAUGUGUAAUUCAGCAGAGCCAAAGGACUCAUCAUGGCUCAUUGAUAGCGGCUGCACUAACCAUAUGACAGCAGACUUAAGCUUAUUCAGAGACUUGGAUAAAAGCUACCUAUCUAAAGUUAGAAUUGGCAAUGGAGACUUUGUGAAGGUUGAAGGAAAAGGAGCAAUUGCAGUAGAAACACUGUCAGGUACAAAAAUUCUUAAAAAUGUUCUUUAUGUGCCUAAGAUCAACCAAAAUCUAGUUAGUGUGGGUCAAUUGAUUGAAUCUGGCUAUUCAAUAGUCUUUAAUGAUGGAGUGUGUGACAUUAAAGAUAAAAAUGGAGUACUUUUACUUUCUGCAAAAAUGAUGAACCGAAGUUUUAAUGUUAACUGGAAGGAAGUAUGUUUGAGUGCCAAUACCUAUGAGAACAAUGAAUCUGUUCUUUGGCACAAAAGGUUGGGACACUUCAACUAUGCAACUCUAAAAAGAAUGGCUGACCAGCAGAUGACUCACGGGUUACCAGAUAUUCAAGAACAGCAAAUUAUGUGUGAAGCUUGUCAGCUGGGAAAACAAACUAGAACUGUUUUUCCUGACAAUGCAUAUAGGGCAGUGUCUAAACUCCAGCUUGUACACACAGAUGUGUGUGGACCUAUGCACAAUGAAUCAUUAAAUGGUUCAAAAUAUUUUCUUCUAUUUAUUGAUGAUUUUAGUAGGUACUGUUGGGUUUACUUUCUAAAAUCCAAAGCUGAUGUGUUUGCUGAGUUUGUUAAGUUCAAGGCAACAGUUGAACUAGAAACAAGAAAUAAAUUGAAGAUAUUGAGAUCUGACAAUGGAGGAGAGUAUACAUCUCGACAAUUUGAAGCAUACCUUGCUAAAGAAGGGAUUAAACACCAGCUGACUGUUCCUUACACACCACAGCAGAAUGGUGUAAGUGAAAGAAGAAACCGAACAUUGAUGGAGAUGGCAAGAUGUUUGCUAUAUGAGAAGAAGCUACCAUUGAAUUUCUGGGCAGAAGCAGUAAACACAGCAUCAUAUCUUAUAAACCGAAUGGCUUCAAGAGUUUUAGCAGAUAAAACUCCUUAUGAACUCUGGUAUGGUUUUAAACCUAGUAUUGAUCAUUUAAAGGUGUUUGGCAAUAUUUGUUAUGUUUUGAAACCUGAAGUUAGAAGAAGAAAACUUGAUCAAAAGGCUGAUAUAGGGAUCUUUAUAGGCUAUAGUACAACAUCUAAGGCUUAUAAAGUUUAUGAUCUGAAUUUUAACAAAGUUGUGGUUACUAGAAAUGUCAAAGUUGUAGAAAAUGCUACUUGGGAUUGGAAAAAUUCAUCAGGUGAAGGAUCAAAACAAAUACAACAAGAUGAGUUGGAUGCUGCAAACAUGAUUGAUCAACAAACAGAUGUUGCUGGGAAUAUUGAGCAACAAACUGAGUGGGAUGCUGCAGAGAAUAUUGAUGAUCAACCAGUAAAGGGGUCAAGAUCUCUAUCAGAUAUCUAUAGCAGGUGUAAUGUAGCUGAGGCAGAACCUGUAGAUGUUGAAAAAGCUAUGAAUUCUCAAGUUUGGAUAGCAGCAAUGAAGGAAGAGCUUGCAAUGAUAGACAAAAAUCAAACAUGGAUGCUAGUUGACAUACCAACUCAUAAGAAGGUAAUUGGAGUGAAAUGGAUUUUCAAAACAAAAUUAAAUGCAGAUGGUAAGAUCAACAAGCAUAAAGCCAGACUUGUAGUGAAAGGAUAUUCACAAGAGGCAGGGAUCGACUUCACAGAAACUUUUGCUCCAGUUUCCAGACAUGAAACAAUGAAGCUCCUGCUUGCUCUAGCAGCACAAAACGGUUGGUAUAUAUUUCAAUUGGAUGUUAAAUCUGCAUUUUUGAAUGGUGUGCUAAAUGAAGAGAUUUAUGUUGAGCAACCUGCUGGUUUUGAAAAAUCAAAUUCAACAAACAAAGUUUAUUUACUGAAGAAGGCAUUGUAUGGAUUGAAACAAGCUCCUAGAGCUUGGUAUAGCAGGUUGGAUAAUCAUCUUUUAAGCUUGGGAUUUAACAGGAGCAUGAAUGAGGUAACUUUAUAUGUGAAGCAUGCUGAAGGACAUAAACUCCAUCAUAGUCUAUGGUAGCCCUCAAGUAGAAAUUUUGCAUUGAUACUGAAUUAGAGAAUACCGAAUUAAGCAUAGUGCCAUUUUGGGCUACGAGGUACAUAUAGCCAGACUGGUUAAAGACCACCCUAUAACCGCUUCCAAUAGAAUCCUGGGUAGACCAAUAAGCAAAAUUUGAGGUAGUUAAUGGAUAGUGUGUGGUGUACAGGAUGAGAUUCCCGUCAGCUUGUAGAAUGAACUUGUAUCUUCCUUCUGAAUAAUUCUUAUUUUCCAGGUAGGGAGCAAUAAGUUGAGCACCUGAAUUCAGAUUUUGUGUGGGCAACAGUGUAUCUGUUGGUUCAUCAAAACUCUGCCACAAAUUGGCACCAGCUUGGCUUGCUACCACGAAGUUUCCCGAGUCAAGCAUGGCUGCAUAGGCGGUUCCACUUCCCCCCGAUUGUGGACGGAUCCAUAUUUGUCUGCCUGAUUGAUCAUUUAGAAUCAACUCACCAUCUGCCGUAAGUUGUACUCUUGAUCCACCCUGAACUAGAUCAUUUCUAUUAGCAGACCAGACCAUGGUUCUUUCAGGUAUUUUGUUGAACCAUAUGGCAAGUAAGUAGCCAGCAUCACCAACUUGCUGGAAACCAAAAGAAAAAUCCCCAGAUGGUGAAGUCCAAGAAAGGUUAUCACUUCCAGCAGUGAGAGAUGACCCCAAAGAUAUGUUUCUGUAAGUCUGACCAUUGGUGGAGAAUGGCAGAAGCAGAAGAAGAAAGAAGAAAAAACAAUAUGGUAGUUGAAAAUCCAUGAUGUGAAGAUACUAUAUUUGAAGACAUUGCAUGAUUUAGGGCACAGGUCCUCUUCUCUAUUUAUGCUGAGUAUUACAGUUGGAAGAAAUAUUGAGUCUCCAACUAUCCGCGUACGUAUCAAAUGAAUAAAUUAAUGAAGUAAAAGUAAAGCAUUAUAAAAUUGUAAGUCUGAUCAAUUGUCAAGUUUUCCAAUAUUAACGUGAAGAAAGGGGUGUUCAAAAAAGGGAAAUUAUUAGCAAUAAGUCUUAGAGCAAUUACUAAUGCCAUUGGAAUAAACGGUGUGGCUUGUUUCAAUGGUCACCAUUACUAAUGGAACUAAUCAGGAGUUUCCCUUUUCUUCUGACCACUUCAACUAUAAAGGAUUCACUGUUUCUCUUGAUUUAGGAUUGCGUGUGCUAUAAAUUUUCUUCAUUGAAAAUCUCUAAAAUCCUGGUCUUUCUGAGAAAAUCCAACUAGAACUUGGAGAAAGAAAUGCAAAAAUUAAGUGUUUUCAUACUCAAUAUCGUUAAAUAACCGGUUCCUAAAAAGCUAUACAUUCUAAGUCCUUUUGAAGAAAUUCUUAAUUAUAAAUCUGAAGAAACAAAAGGACUCGAGAAAAAUAACUUAUUUGAUCAUGAUAACAGUUGUUAAAGAAUAAAUUAAAUUCAAUUUAAAAGCUAAAGCAAAUUAGCACAAAAUUAAAAUAAUAAUUUAACUAAUAAGAUUCCAUAACUAGUUUAAUAAAAAUUUUUAAGAUAUUGAUGAUAAUUUAAGAUAUAAUUUAUAUUAUUGUAUAAUAAAUAUUACUAAUGAAAUUAAUAAGAAGUUUUUUUUUUUAAACCACUCCAAUUACACAGUUUUAACUGUUUGGAUUUAAGAUUAUUCUACAAUUUGUUUUUAAUUAAAAAUCCCUAAAAUCCUAAUAACAAGUUAUUUAUAAAAAACUCAAAUUUAUUCAUGUUGAUUUUGAUUUUUCAUAUUUAUAUUUUCCUCUCAUAAAAUAAAACACUUCAAAGAUUCAAGAAAGGUAAGGUAUUUGAUGAAAAGGAUGACAUUAAUUUGGUUCAUUUAUAAACUACAGUUGUGAAGUUCGAGAUCUUUAAAAUAUAAGGGUACAAAAAGAAAAUUGUUUCAUUUACAGGGGCAAAUGAUAAAGUUUACCCUUUUGCUAAUUUGCCACCGAAUCGUGCAUGAACACAAACAACGAGGACAAAGCAACGACAUGUCUUUCAUGUUGUUCUAGAGACUUUGGACUAGCUACGGAUGAUAACGAGUACAUAUGAAUCGAGUUUUUGUUAUAUUCAUUUCUGAUUAAUUAUUAUUAAUCAAGUUAAAAAUUUAUAUAUGAAUCGAGAAAUUCAGUGCUGGUGAAUUAUAAUUCCUUCUUUAACACGUUGAAAUAGGAAAAUCCUUGUAAAAAAGGAAUUCAUGCACUUCCCUUCUUCUCUUUCUUUCUUUAACCCGUUAUUUUCUUUAGCUGAGAGAGUGAGAAAGAAAGAAAAAAUCUAAUUACUUGGCUGCCGACUUUACGUUGAUUGUGUUUGUAUUCAUGUUUAAAAAAUAUUUUUACUUUUUUUUAAAAUAUUUUUUUUUAAUUUUUUAUUAUUUUAACGUGCUGCUAUAAAAAGCAAGGGUAAUGGCAGCUUUUCUUUUGAUUUACUAAGGCCCCGUUUAUUUACUGGAAAGUAAUUUUCUUUUGAAAAUUAAAUUCCGGGAAAAUAAAUUAUUUUCCGAUAUUUGGUAGUGUAAUGGAAAAUAAGUUGGAAAACACUUUCCAGUGUUUGGUUAUGUCAUGGAAAAUGAGCUGGAAAAUAACUUAUUAAUGUUUUAUUUUUUUCAAGUUUAUUAAAAUAAUAAGAAACAAAUCUUAUAAAUUAAAAAGUUGAAUCAGAAUAAAAUUGAAAAAAAAAUAUAAUUUCAUAAAUUAUCUCAAAUAAAAUAAAUAAUAAUCAAAAUAAUAGAGAUCAAAUCUAAAAAAUAAAAAAAAUUGAAAGAUGAAGAAAUUAAAAUAAUAAUAAUUGACAUUUCAUAAAUUAAUAUAAAAAUUCAAUUCUAAUGGAUGAAAUUGAAAAACAAAUAUUCAAAACAAAAUAUAUAUAUAGCAAUCAAAAGUUUGAGGACCAAAUUUGAUAUAAUUGGCAAAUAAUAUGGCAUUUCUAAAUUUUUCACAACUUCCGGAAAGUGUUUUCCGCCCAAAAUAAAAGGAAAACACUUUCCUGGAAACCAAGUCAAAUUUUCCUUUGACUGGAAAGUGUUUUCCGUUGACCGGAAAUUGUUUUCCGUUGACCAACUUUCCUGAUGAUAAACUAGAAAGUUUGGAAAGUGGUUUCCCGAAAACCACUUUUCGAGAAACAAACACAACCUAAAAUAAUGCAGGCCGAGAGUUAAAAUCGUCUCUAGCAGGUACGUGAGCUGCAUGGCUUGUGUGUUUGGAAGGUUGUAAUUAUUUUUUAAAAUGUUUUUUUAUUUAAAAAAUAUAUUAAAAUAAUAUUUUAUUAUUAUUUUUAAAAAAUUAUUUUUAAUAUUAGUGCAUCAAAAUAAUCUAAAAAUAUAAAAAAAAUAUUAAUUUGAAGCAAAGAAAAAAAAAAUAAAAAUUCAAUUUUUUGUAAAAACAUUUUCAAAACACAAAAACAAAUAAAUUUAUAUUUUUCCCUUCAUUUUUUCUGAGUAUAUUUAUUUAUUUAUCCAACCAAAACUUUCUCUUGAAGAUCACGUGAAUGAAGCCUGCCCUGUUUCACAACGCUUUCACAUAGGAAACAUUUGCCAAGACAGUACUGUCGUUUCUUCUCCUCAGCUUAGAGCAUUGUAGUCGUCAUCAAUGAGAAUGUUCUGCGGCUUUAUAUCACAGUGAAUGAUUUGGGUGCUCCAAGUUUUUUCUUAAUGCAAAUAUCUAAAAAGGAUAAUUAAAAUAAACCUUUUAAGAUUGAUUUUCACUUUCUUGCUAGAAAUUAUAUUUAAUAUCCUGAACUUUAUCUAUGCGUUAAUAUUUAAAAUCCUAAAAAAAAAUAAAUAAAAAAUAUCUAAUUAUAUACGAGUUUACCUUUAUAUUCAUUUCAAAUCUUUUAUUUUACUUAUUACUGGUGAACAUGGAAAAGAAAAAAUAAUAAUUGGAAGCAUGCGUUUUAAGCCUUAUUUUACAAGGUCUAACACAUGAUGCCUGAAAUGAUUGGAACAACAGAUUAUUCAAUACAAGGAACUACAGAUUAUUCAAUGCAAGGUAGAUAGGUAACAUUCAUUGGCCUUAGUUUCUGGAUAUAUAUAUAUGUACAAAAAGAUUUAGAUUGUGCUGAUAAAUGAUGAAGGAUCAGGAGGAACAGAGACUUGAACACUUCCUUCUAACAUCUGCACAACUUUCUUCAUUCCAGGUCUUAAAGAUGGAUCUUCCUGAAUGCACCAAAUUGCAACCAUCACAAACCUCUCUACCCUUUUCAUGUCUUCCAUUGCCUCUUCAUCUUCUUCUACUAAAAGGUUCAACUUUCCUUCUUUAAGGCAAUCACAUGCCCAGUCUGCAAGAACUAUCUGAUCUUCUUGCAUCGCAUUAAUCUCAAAGUUCUUUCUGCAGCAAACUAGCUCCAGCAAGAGAAUGCCAAAGCUGUAGGUAUCUACUUUGGUUGUGACAGGCAGGUUCUUGAACCAUUCAGGAGCUACAUACCCUUUGGUACCCCUGAUUCCUGUCGUUGUUUUGGUUUGGUCCGUCUUCAACAGCUUGGCUAGUCCGAAAUCUGAAAUCCUGGCGUUAAGAGAUUCGUCGAGGAGGAUAUUUUGAGGCUUGAUAUCACAAUGGAUUAUCUGGGAGCUGCAUUCUUCAUGGAGGUAAAGUAGCCCUCUGGCUACACCGAAAGCAAUUUGCAUUCUUCGGUGCCAACUAGGCCUUGAAUAUCCAAAUAUGUAGUUUGACAAGGAGCCACUGCUCAUGUACUCGUAGACCAGAAGGCGAUUUUCCCCUUCGUUACAGAAUCCAACAAGUUGAACCAGAUUCUUGUGAUUUGUUCUGCCAAUAACUUUCACUUCUGUAUUGAAUUCUGUGUCGCCCUCCCCGGCCAUCUUUUCUAAUUUCUUUACUGCGAUGAGCGGUUUGUCUUCGUUGGCUAGUGCCCCUCUGUAAACAAUUCCAAAAGCACCCCUACCGAGUUCUUCCUUGAAUCCUCCUGUAGCUGUUUCCAGCUCAUUGUAAGUAAAAUUCUGCAGAUUCAUUUCUGGCAUGACAUGGAGUUGCGGUACCAUCUUUUGUUUUUGUUGGUUCCAUCGAGUAAAGAACACGUAGAUUCCUAGCAGAGAAAGAACAAUUAGAAAGAUGGAGCUACCUAAAAGCACCGAUCCUGUUGUGAUCAAAAUUGAUCGAUCACUCUUCUUUGCACUUGAACCUGCAGUCCGGUUGCCUUUCCUUACUUUCAUCAGGGCUUUAUCACCAAUACUUGGAUCUGUUACCCCAUUCGAGAGAGGGCCUCUCUUCUUCCAACAGUGUCCACUGUUAUAAGUGGCAACAGCACAAUAGCAGUCACUCAAGCAAGCUUGUCUGCACCAAUCCUCGUCCACUGAAAAAAAAUCUUCAUAAUCAGUAAAUGGAAAGUUUUUGUUAAGCAUAUCCCAGAUCAUAAAGUUAUCUAUUUCUUGCGAUGGAUGGUCACAAUCCUGUGAAAUAAAGUUUUUCUUGCAUCCCUUCCUCUCAUCAUUUGGAUCAAAGAAAGUGUAACCAGGAGGACACUUGCAUCUUGGUCUUUGGUCAUCUCCUAAUAUGCAAUAGCUGUUGAAACCGCAAGCUCCACUGCCUACUGGUCCCCUAAUUACCACGCAGAUAUUUGAGGGUAUGAAGUUUGGCAAAGUCGUCCAGGCCAUAGCCCACCUUGUGCUACUGGAAGCAGUCUUUGGAUAAGCAUAUUGCCUAAAAACUCCAUCAUAGUCCAGGGUUGCCCUCAAGUAGAAAUCUUGCAUUGAUACUGAAUUAGAGAAUACCGAAUUAAGCGUAUUGCCAUUUUGGUCUGCGAGGUACAUAUAGCCAGACUGGUUAAAGAUCACCCUAUAACCGCUUCCAGUAGAAAUUUGGGCAGACCAAUAAGCAACAUUUGAGGUAGUUGUUGGAUAACGUGUUGUGUACAGUACGAGAUUGCUGUCAGCUUGUAGAAUGAACUUGAAUCUUCCAUCUGAAUAAUUCUUUUCCAGGUAGGGAGCAAUUAGUUGAGCACCUAAAUUCAGAUUUUGUGUGGGCAACAGUGUGUCUGUUGGUUCAUCAAAACUCUGCCACAAAUUGGCACCAGCUUGGCUUGCUACCACGAAGUUUCCCGUGUCAAGCAUGGCUGCAUAGGCGGCUCCACUUCCACCAAAAACUGGACUCCAUAUUGUUCUGCCUGAUUGAUCAUUUAGAACCAACUCACCAUCUCUGGUAAGUUGUACUUUUGAUCCCCCCUGAACUAGAUCAUUUCUAUUAGCUGACCAGACUAUGGUUCUUUCGGGUAUUUUGUUGAACCAUAUGGCAAGUAGGUAGCCAGCAUCACCAACUUGUUGGAAUCCAAAAGCAAAUUCCCCAGAUGGUGAAGUCCAAGGAAGGUUAUCACUUGCAGCAGUGAGAAAUAAGCCCGAAGAUAUGUUGCUGUGAGCCUGACCAUUGCCAGAAAAUGGCAGCAGCAGAAGAAGAAGGAAGAAAAAACAAUAUGGUAGUUGAAAAUCCAUGAUGUGAAGAUACUGUAUAUUAAGACCUUGCAUGAUUUAGGGCACAGGUCCUCUUCUCUAUUUAUGCUGAGUAUUGUCGUUGGAGGAAAAUAUGGGUCUCCAACUAAUUGAUAAAGAGAUUGUAUUUAUGUGAUUGUAUUUUUCCCUUGUGAUAAAUUCGAAUCUUUUUUUCAUGCAUGAGAAUAAACUAAUGCUAAAAACCUUCCAGUUAUUAAACGGUCAAUGCAUUUAUCAAAUGAAUAUGGCAAAGACUUUCUUUAUGUGGUUAAUUGUGAUAAAGAGAUUUCAACUGAUUUCGAAUCAUUUUUUCAUGCAUGAGAAUAAACUAAUGCUAAAAACCUUCUGCGUAUCAAAUGAAGAUGGCAAAGACUUUCUUUCUGUCUUUAUGCUUUUUUCUUUUUGGUAAAUAAAUUUUAACUAAUAUCCAAUUUUUCCGGUUAUUAAACGGUCAAUGUAUUUAUCUGCCAACCCAAAACCAAACCCCGGUCGAUUUCAAUAUAUAAAAAUCUUGUUUAAUUUUUUUAAAAAUAAAAAAAUAAUAUAGAUAUAUUUUUAAAUAACAAAAUGAUACUUUUAUAAAUUAACUUGAGUUAACUCCCGGUCGUUAUACUAUAAAAAAAACUAAAAUAAAUUAUCAAUAUUUGACUGGAGGACAAAACAUAGCAGCUUCCUGCUUACUUCCUCAGAAAAUGCUUAUCGCAAUGACUCAAACAUUAGGUGACUCUUCCAAUAUAUAUUAACGCGAAGAAAGGACUGUGUGAUAAACCCAUGCAAAAAAGACAUGCAAAAAAGACUUGUUAUUAGCUGUACGUCUUAGAGCAAUAGCUAGAUAAUUAGGUCAUUGACAAUCAAUUCACUAUCAAACCUUCAAUUGUUUUUAAUUUGACCCUUGAUUUUAUCGAUUUAAGUCCUUGAAGUCUCAUGCCUUUUAUGGUUUGGUCUUUGAUUUUGAGUUUCUUCAAUCAAGUCCUUAAUUGCCUAUUAAACUUUAAUAUUUAUACAAUUAAACCUCUGAUUUGAUCAAAUCAUCUUUUUUAAAUUGCAAUUCAACCCCAAGACUUCAAUUUUUUCCAAUUAAAGCUCAAAUUGAAUUCAAAAACCAACAUUCCUAGCAAUUAAACCCUUAAUAAAUUCAAUUAAACCCUAAAAAAAAUACCAAUUGAGUUAUUAAACAUCUAAUUUUGAAUUUUUCUUUCCAAAUUGCAUUUUUCUUGUUAAUAAGACCUUCAUCAAUCAAAAUUGAACUGUUAAUUUUUUAAAUUUGGGUAUUUUGGUCCUUCUCAACUAGUUUUUGGAAAUUUUCUAGACAAUUUUCAUGUUUUUCUUACUGAUAUAUAUUUUAUUUUUCCAAUGUUUUUUAAUUUCUUAGUAUGGGGUCCCAAAAUGGGUACCAAUUAUAUUGAUUUGACAAGUUAACCCAAGUUGACCUAAGUCGAUCCGAUAUGUUUCUGUCUUAAUAUUUCUUUAAAAAAUCCUCUUGGGAUUUUUUUUAUCAAAAUUUUUUUUAACGAUCAUUCAUCUCAAGUUAAUCAAGUUAUAUCAGGUCAACCCACAUAUAAUUUAAAUUAUUUAUACUAGAAAAUAUGUUAGAAACAUCUGCAUAUUUUCCUUUAUAUAUAAAAAAAAUCUAGUAUGUAGCGUAGUGUGAAUAAUUUAGUUAACAUCUCGUUGAGUAAUUUGUAAAGUGAAUUAAAAGUGAUCAUUGUUGGAAUGCUGCCUCCUAUAUAUUGAUUUUGAAUUAGAGCAUUUAUAUCUGAAUUUGUAAAUUCAGAAAAAGGAAUCGUUUUUUUAAGGAUUCAAUUCUAAAUAGUAGCUUAAGAACAAACUCAUUUAUCAUUCAAACUAAACCUUUCAAAAAAAAAUUUAUUUAAAAUUAAAUUAAGUGGAAUAAUAAAUUAUAAAACCCUUUUGCUUAAUGCUAAUAUAUAAAUAUAAGAUUUUACUCGUUACUCUUUAAUAUGGAAAAAAAGAAAAGAAAAUAAAUAAGCGCAUGAAACUUUAACGUGCACGGUACAAUUAACACACGAAUCAAUCCAAUUUGAAAGUCACAUUGCCAUCGACUACGUGUCAUACAUAAACAAGACAACAAAUGCACGACUAGUCUUUUAUAUUGGUCUAAAAUUGUCUUUUACGCCAAAAUGAACCUUUUCUUCCUAUCAUUAUUAUAAUGGACUGGUCCACUUUUGUCUGCAAUUACUAAAUUUCUCAAGAUGUUAAACAAACCAUUAUUAUCUUUUUCAACAUCCUCUCUUAAACUUGAUUUUUGAUAACUCCUAGCAUAUUUUAGAUUUUUUAAAUUAAUUUAAAAUAAUAUUUUUUAAAUUUAUUUUAAUAAAAGUUAAAACAAUAUUUUAAAAAUAGAAAAAAAAUUAAGGUUGUGAAUUGAUCAGGAUUGAGUUAAUCUAAUAACUACAAACAAAGUUUUUUAUGAAAAUCAAGCUCAAUUAAUAUGAUCUUAAUCAGGACUACAUUAUGAUAAAUAACUUGGGAAACAAACAUGCUAUUUACACGGGCCAAGUCUAUAAGAGCUAGACCAUUUAAGAUUGAAGUACUGGUUAGUAAUUAUUUAUUAAGCACAUAUAUAUUUUGAACAAUAAUUCUUUGAUUCUACUCGUUACUCUUGAGCAUGGAAAAGGAAAAAAAAAAAAAGGAUUCAAGUAUUUGAAGCCUUGUUGUUGAAGAAAUCAUCAUUUGACUUGAAAUUUAGAGUAUCAACCCAGAAGAUGAUCUAGACAUGUCUGAAAUGACAGCAACUACAGAUUAUUCAAUACAUGGUAGAUAGGUUACAUUCAUUGGUCUUAGUAACUGGAUAUAUACAUGUGUACAAAAAGGAUUUAGAUUGUGCUGAUAAAUGAUGAAGGAUGAGGAGGAAUAGAGACUUGAACAGCUCCUUCUAGCAUCAGCACAACUUUCUUCAUUUCAGGUCUUAAAGAUGGAUCCUCUUGAAGGCACCAAAUUGCAACAAUCACAAACCUCUCUACCGUUUUCAUGUCUUCUGCUGCCUCUUCAUCAUCUUCAACUAAAAGGUCUAACUUUCCUUCUUUAAGGCAAUCCCAUGCCCAGUCUGCAAGAACUAUCUGACCUUCUUUCUUAUCAAUAUCAAAGUUCUUUCUGCAACAAACUAGCUCCAGCAAAAGAAUGCCAAGGCUGUAGGUAUCGACUUUGGUUGUGACAGGCAGGUUCUUGAACCAUUCAGGAGCUACAUACCCUUUGGUCCCCCUGAUUGCUGUAGUUGUUUUAGUUUGGUCUGUCUUCAGCAGCUUGGCUAUUCCGAAAUCAGAAAUCCUUGCAUUAAAAGAUUUGUCGAGGAGGAUAUUUUGAGGUUUGAUAUCACAAUGGAUUAUCUGGGAGCUGCAUUCUUCAUGGAGGUAAAGGAGCCCUCUGGCUAUAUCGAAAGCAAUUUGCAUUCUUCGGUACCAGUUAGGCCUUGAAUCUCCAAAGAGAAAAUUGGCCAAAGAGCCAUUGCUCAUGUAUUCGUAGACCAGAAGGCGAUGUUGCCCUUCGUUACAGAAUCCAAUAAGUUGAACCAAAUUCUUGUGAUUUGUUCUUCCAAUAACUUUCACUUCUGUAUUGAAUUCUCUGUCGCCCUCUCCGGCCAUCUGAUCUAACUUCUUCACUGCAAUGAGUGGUUUGUCUUCGUUCGCUAGUACCCCUUUGUAAACAGUUCCAAAGGCACCUCUACCAAGUUCUUCCGUGAAUCCUCCUGUAGCUCUUUCGAGCUCAUUGUAAGUGAAAUUCUGCAUAUUCAUGUCUGGCAUGAGACGGUGUUGCGGUAUCAUUUUUUGUUGCUGUCGGUUCCAUCGAGAAAAGAACACAUAGAUCCCUAGCAGUGAGAGAACAAUUAGAAAGAUGGAGCUACCUAAAAGCACCGAGCCUGUUGUGAUCAAAUUCGAUCUAUCACACUUCUUUGCACUUGAGCCUGCAGUCGAGUUGCCUUUCCUUACUUUUAUCAGGGCUUUUCCACCAACACUUGGAUCUGUUACCCCAUUCGAGAGAGGGACUCUCUUCAUCCAACAUUGUCCAGCAGUGUUAAAAAUGGCAACAGCACAAUAACAGUCACUUAAGCAAGCCUGUCUGCACCAAUCCUCGUCCACUGAACCAAACAUUUCAUAAUCAUUAAACGGCCAGUUUGUGUUAGGCAUUUCCUUGAUCUCAAAGCUAUCUAUUUCUUGCGAUGGAUGGUCACAAUCCUGUGAAAUAAAAUCUUUCUUGCAUCCCUUCCUCUCAUCAUUUGGAUCAAAGAAAGUGUAACCAGGAAGACACUUGCAACUUGGUCUUUGGUCAUCUGCUAAUCUGCAAUAGCUGUUGAAACCGCAAGCUCCACCGCCUUGUUGUCCCGUAAUUCUCAAGCAGAUAUUUGAUGGUAUGGAGUUUGACAAAGUCGUCCAGGCCAUAGCCCUGCUUCUGCUACUGGAAGCAGUCUUUGGAUAAACAUAUUGCCUAAGAACUCCAUCAUAGUCCAGGGUUGCCCUCAAGUAGAGAUCUUGCAUUGAUACUGAAUUAGAGAAUACAGGAUUAAGUACAGUACCAUUUCUAGCUACAAGGUACAUAAAGCCAGACUGGUUAAAGAUCACCUGAUAACCGCUACCUAUAGAACUUUGGGUUGACCAAUAAGCAAAAUUCGAGGUAGUUAACGGAUAGUGUGUGGUGUACAAGAUGAGAUUCCCAUCAGCUUGUAGAAUGAACUUGUAUCUUCCUUCUGAAUAAUUCUUUUCCAGGUAGGGAGCAAUAAGUUGAGCACCCGAAUUCAGAUUUUGUGAGGGCAACAGGGUAUCUGUUGGUUCAUCAAAACUCUGCCACAAAUUAGCAUCAGCUUGGCUUGCUAGCACGAAGUUUCCUGUGUCAAGCAUGGCUGCAUAGGCGGCUCCACUUCCACCAAAAACUGGACUCCAUAUUGUUCUGCCUGAUUGAUCAUUUAGAACCAACUCACCAUCUCUGGUAAGUUGUACUCUUGAUCCCCCCUGAACUAGAUCAUUUCUGUUAGCUGACCAGACUAUGGUUCUUUCGGGUAUUUUGUUGAACCAUAUGGCAAGUAGGUAGCCAGCAUCACCAACUUGUUGGAAUCCAAAAGCAAAUUCCCCAGAUGGUGAAGUCCAAGGAAGGUUAUCACUUGCAGCAGUGAGAAAUAAGCCCGAAGAUAUGUUGCUGUGAGCCUGACCAUUGCCAGAAAAUGGCAGCAGCAGAAGAAGAAGGAAGAAAAAACAAUAUGGUAGUUGAAAAUCCAUGAUGUGAAGAUACUGUAUUUGAAGACCUUGCAUGAUUUAGGGCACAGGUCCUCUUCUCUAUUUAUGCUCGAGUUAUUGGUAUUGCCUUCGGAAGAAAAUAUGAUUCUCCAACUAUCCGCGUGGUUAUAUUUAAAAUUAUAGUAGCUAUUAUUAUAUAAAUUAUUUUUUGUUUAAAAAUAUAUUAAAAAUAUAUUUUUUUAUUUUAAAAAAUAAAUUAUUUUUAAUAUUAGUGCAUUAAAGUAAUUUAAAAAUACUAAAAAAAUUAUUUAAAAAUUUUUUUUUUUUUAUAAAAAUAGGUUGGAUUGCAUUUCCAAACAGGCAUGACAAAGACUUUCUUUGUGUUAUUGUGAUUUUUACCUUGUGAUAAAGAGGUUUCAACUAAUUUCGAAUCUUUUUUUCAUGGAUGAGAAUAAACUAAUGUUAAAAACCUUCCGCCUAUGGCAAAGACUUUCUUUUUUUUCUUUAUGAUUUUUUCUUUUUGGUAAAUAAAUUUUAACUAAUAUCGAAUUUUUCCGGUUAUUAAACGGUCAAUGCAUUUAUCUCCCAACCCAAAACUAAACUCUGGUUAGUUUUUAAAAUAAACUAAUUAAAAUUAACUUGGUCGGAUUUAAUCAACUUAGUAAAAAAACCCGCGAUCCAAUUGAAAAUAUAUAUAAAAACCUUGUUUAAUUUAAAAAAAAAUAAAAUAAUAUUAUUUUAACUUUUUUACAAAAUAACAAAAUAAUAUUUUAAUAAAUUGACUCGUGUUAUAUCACUAAAUCCCGGUCGGUAAAAAUAUAUCAAGAUUAAUUGUGAUAGCGGUUGCUGUUUAAAGUGUUUUCACUUAAAAAUAUAUCAAGAUUAUAUUUUUCUUAUUUUUUAAAAAAUUAUUUUUGAUAUCAACGUAUCAAAACAAUACAAAACACUAAAAAAUAUUAAUUUUAAAAAUAAAAUUUAACUUUUUAAAAAGUACAGGUUGGACGAGUUUCCAAAAGAGCAUGGCAAAGACUUGCUUUAUGUUAUUGUGAUUUUUACCCUGUGAUAAAGAGGUUUCAACUAAUUUCGAAUCUUUUUUUCAUGGAUGAGAAUAAACUAAUGUUAAAAACCUUCCGCCUAUGGCAAAGACUUUCUUGUUGUCUUUAUGAUUUUUUUUUUUUGAUAAAUAAAUUUUAACUAAUAUCGAAUUUUUCCGGUCAAUGCAUUUAUUUGCCAACCCAAAACUAAACUCUGGUUAGUUUUUAAAAUAAACUAAUUAAAAUUAACUUGGUCGGAUUUAAUCAACUUAAUAAAAAAGCCCCGUGACAUUAAUAAAAAAAUCUAAUAAUUAUAUACGAUUUGCCUUUAUAUUCAUUUUAAAUCUUUUAUUUUACUUAUUACUCGUGAACAUGAAAAGAAAAAAUAAUAAUUGAAAGCAUGCGUUUUAAGCCUUAUUGUACAAGAUCUAACACAUGAUAGGAACUACAGAUUAUUCAAUGCAAGGUAGAUAGGUAACAUUCAUUGGCCUUAGUUUCUGGACACACACACACACAUGUGUGUGUGUGUUCAAAAAGAUUUAGAUUGUGCUGAUAAAUGAUGAAGGAUCAGGAGGAACAGAGACUUGAACACCUCCUUCUAACAUCUGCACAACUUUCUUCAUUCCAGGUCUUAAAGAUGGAUCUUCCUGAAUGCACCAAAUUGCAACCAUCACAAACCUCUCUACCCUUUUCAUGUCUUCCAUUGCCUCUUCAUCUUCUUCUACUAAAAGGUUCAACUUUCCUUCUUUAAGGCAAUCACAUGCCCAGUCUGCAAGAACUAUCUGAUCUUCUUGCAUUGCAUUAAUCUCAAAGUUCUUUCUGCAGCAAACUAGCUCCAGCAAGAGAAUGCCAAAGCUGUAGGUAUCUACUUUGGUUGUGACAGGCAAGUUCUUGAACCAUUCAGGAGCUACAUACCCUUUCGUCCCCCUGAUUCCUGUCGUUGUUUUGGUUUGGUCCGUCUUCAACAGCUUGGCUAGUCCGAAAUCUGAAAUCCUGCCGUUA